CCCAGGAGGCUCAGACUGAAGGCGUAGGAACCAUCAGCAGAUCAGAAACCAUCAGUUCAGUCUCCCGGGUGGCUGAUAGCUUCCCAACAGCCAUAGCCUCACCUCCUUCAUCCACACCAAAUGGGCACAGCUCUCCAGAAUCCAUGGGGCAAACUCUGUCACCCUCAAGCCCCAUUGCAACAUUUUCCUCAUCACCAGACAGGGAGAGCCACACACCCCAGACAGCAACGUCAGUCUUCCCCACCGGCUCAACUGAAGGACCGCCUGUGGUCAGCUCUGGGAUCGUGAGCGAUGUGCCUUCUCAUUCUCCUGCUACAAUGUGGUCCACAAGUGGAGAAGUUCUCCCAAGAAGCACAAGCUUUUCAGACACCCGUGCCAAUGUGACCGCAGUUCAUCCUGUAGGUUCUGAGAGUGUCUCCUUGACAGAAACCGCACAAGUUCCGUCUUCCUCGGUGGGCGUCUCACGCAAAACCGCCACUCGCCAUCCUGUCACUGUCCAAUCAGUAGCCCCCGCCACCGACCCCAUUACAUCACCAACCUAUGUGAGUUCCACCAGUCACCCUAUCAGCACAGCUGGAUCCACACACACUUCAUCAGAUGAAACCGCCUCUCACUCAUCUCCCAGGACCACUGUGAUGACCGCUUCAGGCACCAGCACUUCGCAACCAACCACAAGCCACGCCGUCACUCUCACACCUUCUUCUGCCGUGUCUUCAUCCAGUGUUACUGACGCAGCAACAGAACUGGGGUCUAGCCCACUAAGCCCAGUCACCACCCAAGGCAAUGGUGGAGACGUCUCACCUACCGUCAGUGGCCGCAGCACCUCUGAUGCCUCUGCAACUGCAGAACCCACAAGGCAGUCAACACCAUCAUCCGCCAGCACUUCUCCUGCGGAACCAGCAGCUGUCACCCAGAUGAGUAACACUCAAGGUGCACACGCCACCCAAGAAUCCCAAACCUCGAGAUCAGGUUUCCCCAGCACCAACACGAUCAGGACAGUCACAGCUCCAACUCCUUUACCGUAUCCAAGUGGACAGUCGGCCUCAGAAAGUGUUCCUCUGAAUACACCGACAGCCUCCAGCCCAACGCCCUCUGGGAGGAGCCACGCAACCUGGGCUUCAACAACAGAAGAGGGGGCCCCACCCAUGAGUCCCGACACCACCCUGGGGAUCUCGGGAGAUGCAUCACUUUCCCCAACCGGCACCAUUGCUCAGGUCACCUCCGUAGUCUCCGAUUCAGUGGGCUCGGGCAGAGAGGCAACGUCGCCUUCCUCCGGCACCUCACCUGACGCAAAGUCAGCCGUUUCCCAGACUCACCAACCUCAAGGCACGGAGACCACUGGCGCUCCUCACACCGGCAAAUGGGCUUCUUUGUUGCCUGAGACGACCUGGGAGGGCACAAGGGCACCCUCUUCCUUCACCAUACUUAGGCAAGCAUCCUCAGGAAGCCCUCCACCAGAAAAAUUCACCUCAGGUGAGACGGCACCCUUAACAACAACUCUCUCCGGUGACAGCCACACAACUCCUACAACCGCUGAAUUGUUGUCCAGUGCUACCACUCUUGACACUACCCCAGAAACCAUUUUCCCUAAAGGCACGACUCCCACCAUCUCUGAGGCCUCAACAACUGGUAGGCCAACAGGACAGUCCAUCUCCACUUCUUUCAGCACACCGUCACAGGAAAGCCCAUCCAUUUCCCAGAUAACUCAGACUAAAGGUACGGGAACCAUCAGCGGAUCUGAAACCGUCAGUUCAGUCUCCCGGGUGACUGACACCUUCCCAACAGCCAUAUCCUCACCUCCUUCAUCUGCACCAAAUGUGUACACCUCUCCACAAGCCAUGGGGCACACUCUGUCUCCCUCAACCCCAGUCAGCGAUGGCCACACACCUCAGACAGGAAUGCCAAACUUGGCCACUGGGUCAACUGAAGGACCGCCUGCGGUCACUUCUGGCCCCCUGAGCGAUGUGACCUCUCACUUUUCUACAAUGCAGUCCACAAGUGGAGAAGUUCUCCCAGCAAGCACAAGCUUUUCAGACAUCCGUGACCAUGUGACCACAGCUCACCCUGUAGGAUCUGAGGGUGUCUCGUUGACAGAAACCGCACAGGUUCCAUCUUCCUCUGUGGGCAUCUCAGAUGAACCCACCACUGGCCGUCCUGUAGCUGUCCGAUCAGUAGCUUCUGCCACCAACCCCACUACAUCACCAACCUAUGUGAGUCCUACCAGUAACCCUACUGGAACAGCUGGAACCACACUUACUCUGUCAGAUGAACCCACAUUUCAUUCAUCACCCAGGCCCUCUCCCAUGACCACUCCAGACACCAGCACUUCACCACCAACCACAACCUACACCUUCACUCCCACACCUACCCUUGCAGUGUCCCCAUCUGGCGAUGCUGACACAGCAACAGCAUUGUGGUCUAGCCCCAUCAGCCCAGUCACCACCCAAGGAAAACUCAGAGACAUCUCACCUACUGUCAGUGGCAGCAGCACCUCGAAUGCCUCUACAACCGCAGAAUCCACGAGGCAGUCAACACCGUUAUCCACCAACACUUCUCCUGUGGAGACGGGAACUGUUUCUCAGAUGACUCACACUCAAGGCGCACAGGCCACCCAACAGCCCCGAACCUCGAGAUCAGCUUUCCCCAACACCGACACCAUCGGGACAGUCACAGCUACAGCUCCUUCACCCUAUCCAAGUGGACACUCAUCCUCAGAAAGUCUUCCUCUGGAUACAGCCACCACAGAUGCAGUGACAGUCUCCACCUCAGUGCCCUCUGGGAUGAGUCACACAACCCAGGCUCCAACAGUAGAAGAGUGGGCCUCACCAACGAGCCUUGACACCACCCUGGGAAUGUCAGGAGACACAUCUCUUUCCCCAACCAGCACCAUUGCCCAGGUACCCUCCGUAUCCUCAGUCUCAGGGGGCCCAGGUGGACAAGCCACGUCGUCCUCCUCUGCCACCUCGCCUGACGCGACAUCAGCGAUUUCCCUGACUCAAGAAAGUCGAGGCCGAGAGACCACUGCAGUUCCUCACACCAGCAAAUCAGCUUCUUUGUUGACUGACAAGGCCUGGGUGGGCACAACUGCCACUUCUUCAUCCACCAUAACCAGCCAGACAUCUUCAGGGAGUCCUCUGCCAGAAGGAUUCACCUCAGGUAAGACUGUAGCCUUUAAACCAACUCUCUCCAGUGACAGCCACACAACCCCUUCAACCACUGAAUUGUUUUCCGACGCAAACAUUCUUCACGCUACCCAGGGAACCAAGGGAAACGUGUCUCCUACUUUCCGUAGCGACAUCUCUCCCACCAUCUCUGAGGCCUCAACAACCGGGAGGCCAACAGGAGAGUCCAUCUCCACUUCUUUCAGCACCUCGUCCCAGGAGACCCCAUCCGUUUCCCAGGAGGCUCAGACUGAAGGCGUAGGAACCAUCAGCAGAUCAGAAACCAUCAGUUCAGUCUCCCGGGUGGCUGAUAGCUUCCCAACAGCCAUAGCCUCACCUCCUUCAUCCACACCAAAUGGGCACAGCUCUCCAGAAUCCAUGGGGCAAACUCUGUCACCCUCAAGCCCCAUUGCAACAUUUUCCUCAUCACCAGACAGGGAGAGCCACACACCCCAGACAGCAACGUCAGUCUUCCCCACCGGCUCAACUGAAGGACCGCCUGUGGUCAGCUCUGGGAUCGUGAGCGAUGUGCCUUCUCAUUCUCCUGCUACAAUGUGGUCCACAAGUGGAGAAGUUCUCCCAAGAAGCACAAGCUUUUCAGACACCCGUGCCAAUGUGACCGCAGUUCAUCCUGUAGGUUCUGAGAGUGUCUCCUUGACAGAAACCGCACAAGUUCCGUCUUCCUCGGUGGGCGUCUCACGCAAAACCGCCACUCGCCAUCCUGUCACUGUCCAAUCAGUAGCCCCCGCCACCGACCCCAUUACAUCACCAACCUAUGUGAGUUCCACCAGUCACCCUAUCAGCACAGCUGGAUCCACACACACUUCAUCAGAUGAAACCGCCUCUCACUCAUCUCCCAGGACCACUGUGAUGACCGCUUCAGGCACCAGCACUUCGCAACCAACCACAAGCCACGCCGUCACUCUCACACCUUCUUCUGCCGUGUCUUCAUCCAGUGUUACUGACGCAGCAACAGAACUGGGGUCUAGCCCACUAAGCCCAGUCACCACCCAAGGCAAUGGUGGAGACGUCUCACCUACCGUCAGUGGCCGCAGCACCUCUGAUGCCUCUGCAACUGCAGAACCCACAAGGCAGUCAACACCAUCAUCCGCCAGCACUUCUCCUGCGGAACCAGCAGCUGUCACCCAGAUGAGUAACACUCAAGGUGCACACGCCACCCAAGAAUCCCAAACCUCGAGAUCAGGUUUCCCCAGCACCAACACGAUCAGGACAGUCACAGCUCCAACUCCUUUACCGUAUCCAAGUGGACAGUCGGCCUCAGAAAGUGUUCCUCUGAAUACACCGACAGCCUCCAGCCCAACGCCCUCUGGGAGGAGCCACGCAACCUGGGCUUCAACAACAGAAGAGGGGGCCCCACCCAUGAGUCCCAACACCACCCUGGGGAUCUCGGGAGAUGCAUCACUUUCCCCAACCGGCACCAUUGCUCAGGUCACCUCCGUAGUCUCCGAUUCAGUGGGCUCGGGCAGAGAGGCAACGUCGCCUUCCUCCGGCACCUCACCUGACGCAAAGUCAGCCGUUUCCCAGACUCACCAACCUCAAGGCACGGAGACCACUGGCGCUCCUCACACCGGCAAAUGGGCUUCUUUGUUGCCUGAGACGACCUGGGAGGGCACAAGGGCACCCUCUUCCUUCACCAUACUUAGGCAAGCAUCCUCAGGAAGCCCUCCACCAGAAAAAUUCACCUCAGGUGAGACGGCACCCUUAACAACAACUCUCUCCGGUGACAGCCACACAACUCCUACAACCGCUGAAUUGUUGUCCAGUGCUACCACUCUUGACACUACCCCAGAAACCAUUUUCCCUAAAGGCACGACUCCCACCAUCUCUGAGGCCUCAACAACUGGUAGGCCAACAGGACAGUCCAUCUCCACUUCUUUCAGCACACCGUCACAGGAAAGCCCAUCCAUUUCCCAGAUAACUCAGACUAAAGGUACGGGAACCAUCAGCGGAUCUGAAACCGUCAGUUCAGUCUCCCGGGUGACUGACACCUUCCCAACAGCCAUAUCCUCACCUCCUUCAUCUGCACCAAAUGUGUACACCUCUCCACAAGCCAUGGGGCACACUCUGUCUCCCUCAACCCCAGUCAGCGACGGCCACACACCUCAGACAGGAAUGCCAAACUUGGCCACUGGGUCAACUGAAGGACCGCCUGCGGUCACUUCUGGCCCCCUGAGCGAUGUGACCUCUCACUUUUCUACAAUGCAGUCCACAAGUGGAGAAGUUCUCCCAGCAAGCACAAGCUUUUCAGACAUCCGUGACCAUGUGACCACAGCUCACCCUGUAGGAUCUGAGGGUGUCUCGUUGACAGAAACCGCACAGGUUCCAUCUUCCUCUGUGGGCAUCUCAGAUGAACCCACCACUGGCCGUCCUGUAGCUGUCCGAUCAGUAGCUUCUGCCACCAACCCCACCACAUCACCAACCUAUGUGAGUCCUACCAGUAACCCUACUGGAACAGCUGGAACCACACUUACUCGAUCAGAUGAACCCACAUUUCAUUCAUCACCCAGGCCCUCUCCCAUGACCACUCCAGACACCAGCACUUCACCACCAACCACAACCUACACCUUCACUCCCACACCUACCCUUGCAGUGUCCCCAUCUGGCGAUGCUGACACAGCAACAGCAUUGUGGUCUAGCCCCAUCAGCCCAGUCACCACCCAAGGAAAACUCAGAGACAUCUCACCUACUGUCAGUGGCAGCAGCACCUCGAAUGCCUCUACAACCGCAGAAUCCACGAGGCAGUCAACACCGUUAUCCACCAACACUUCUCCUGUGGAGACGGGAACUGUUUCUCAGAUGACUCACACUCAAGGCUCACAGGCCACCCAACAGCCCCGAACCUCGAGAUCAGCUUUCCCCAACACCGACACCAUCGGGACAGUCACAGCUACAGCUCCUUCACCCUAUCCAAGUGGACACUCAUCCUCAGAAAGUCUUCCUCUGGAUACAGCCACCACAGAUGCAGUGACAGUCUCCACCUCAGUGCCCUCUGGGAUGAGUCACACAACCCAGGCUCCAACAGUAGAAGAGUGGGCCUCACCAACGAGCCUUGACACCACCCUGGGAAUGUCAGGAGACACAUCUCUUUCCCCAACCAGCACCAUUGCCCAGGUACCCUCCGUAUCCUCAGUCUCAGGGGGCCCAGGUGGACAAGCCACGUCGUCCUCCUCUGCCACCUCGCCUGACGCGACAUCAGCGAUUUCCCUGACUCAAGAAAGUCGAGGCCGAGAGACCACUGCAGUUCCUCACACCAGCAAAUCAGCUUCUUUGUUGACUGACAAGGCCUGGGUGGGCACAACUGCCACUUCUUCAUCCACCAUAACCAGCCAGACAUCUUCAGGGAGUCCUCUGCCAGAAGGAUUCACCUCAGGAAUGAUCACAGCCUCACUGAGGACAGACAGUAAGAGAAGCACAGCAGCACCACUACCACUAACAGCCUCCGGGACCCUUAAAACUUCCACUCCCAGCACAUCCACCUUCACCCACUCAAAAGAUCCCCCAGUCCCUAUCAAGCCUGAGAAAGGUGUUUCCCUCUUCCCCUUCGGGUCAAGAGUUGGUGACCAUGAGCUUGUCAAGAGGAUUGUUGACUUUACCUCGCCACUCUUCAAGCCCCAGAUUGGCUUCCCCUUCGGCUUCUCUCUCCGGGAGUCCCUCUACUUCACAGAUAACGGCCAGAUCAUUUUCCCUGAAUCAGACUACAAGAUUUUCUCCUACCCCAAUCCACCCCUUAGUGGCUUCACAGGCUGGGACCCUGUGGCCCUGGUGGCUCCAUUUUGGGAUGAUGCUGAUUUCUCAAGCCAUCAGGGAACCAUAUUUUACCAGGAAUACAAGACGCUCCAUGAUGACUACCACCCGCUAGUCCAGCAGGUGGAGUCUUGGAUUGUAAAGGUCACAGACGCCAGGCACUACAAGGCCAGGUGGACCCUAAAGGUCACGUGGGUCAAAGCCCCUGCCUAUCCCGCCCGCUGGACCUUUGGGACCAACACGUACCAGGCCAUCCUCUCCACGGACGGGAGCAAGUCCUACGCCCUGUUUCUCUACCAAAGCGGUGGUAUGCAGUGGGAUAUGACCCAGCAUCCAAGCAACUCAGUUCUCAUGGGCUUCUCCAGUGGAGAUGGAUAUUUCCAAAACAGCCCACUGACGUUCCAGCCAGUGUGGAAGAAGUAUCGUCCAGACCAAUUCCUGGAUUCCAACUCAGGUCUCCGGGGGCUACAGAUCUAUAAGCUACAUGGGGAAGAAAAGCCCAACUACCGUCUCAAGUGCCUGCAGUGGUUGGAGAGGCAGCCUCAGUGGCCCAGCUGGGGCUGGAGCCAGAUCUUCUGCCCUUGCUCCUGGCAGCAGGGACAAUGGGACUUGCGAUUCCAGCCCAUCAGCCUAGGCAUCCCCGUGCCUGGGCCUGAGUCUGUCUGGACCUGUUGCAGGCUGGUGGGGCCUCAGCAGCAGGCAGCUGUGCAGCUUCUCCUCCCGGCGAGGGGGCGUGUGCUGCAGCUACGGGCCCUGGGGAGAGCUUCGCGAAGGCUGGAGAAUGCAGAGUCUUCGGCAGUUUGACCAGGAACUGGAGCCGCAGAACUGGUGCUGCCGCUGGAACGACAAGCCCUUCUUCUGUGCCCUGUACCUGCAGAGGCAGCCACGCAUCGGCUGCUCUGGCUACAGGCCCCCACACUCCGCCUGGCUGUUUGGGGACCCCC